rnacentral:rRNA from 1 species
UGGGGAAUAUUGGACAAUGGGCGAAAGCCUGAUCCAGCCAUGCCGCGUGUGUGAAGAAGGUCUUCGGAUUGUAAAGCACUUUCAGUUGGGAGGAAGGGCAUUAACCUAAUACGUUAGUGUUUUGACGUUAACGACAGAAUAAGCACCGGCUAACUCUGUGCCAGCAGCCGCGGUAAUACAGAGGGUGCAAGCGUUAAUCGGAAUUACUGGGCGUAAAGCGCGCGUAGGUGGUUUGUUAAGUUGGAUGUGAAAUCCCCGGGCUCAACCUGGGAACUGCAUUCAAAACUGACUGACUAGAGUAUGGUAGAGGGUGGUGGAAUUUCCUGUGUAGCGGUGAAAUGCGUAGAUAUAGGAAGGAACACCAGUGGCGAAGGCGACCACCUGGACUAAUACUGACACUGAGGUGCGAAAGCGUGGGGAGCAAACA